AACCCUGUCCAAAAUAAAAAUAAAAAUAAAAAUAACAAUGUGGCUAAAGUUAUAUAUAGGUCAUGCUUCCACCACAGCAUAUAAAUUACCGUGGUGACGAUGAGACCUGUAACAUUU